GAUGAACGCUAGCGGGAGGCUUAACACAUGCAAGUCGAGGGGCAGCAUGGGGUAGCAAUACCCUGAUGGCGACCGGCAGACGGGUGAGUAACGCGUAUGUAACCUACCCUGUACAGGGGGAUAACCCGGAGAAAUUCGGACUAAUAUCCCAUAGAAAUAUUGAAGGGCAUCUUUUGAUAUUUAAAGUUCCGACGGUACGGGAUGGGCAUGCGUAACAUUAGCUAGUUGGUAAGGUAACGGCUUACCAAGGCUUUGAUGUUUAGGGGUCCUGAGAGGGUGGUCCCCCGCACUGGUACUGAGACACGGACCGGACUCCUACGGGAGGCAGCAGUGAGGAAUAUUGGUCAAUGGGCGCAAGCCUGAACCAGCCAUCCCGCGUGCAGGAAGACGGCGCUAUGCGUUGUAAACUGCUUUUCCAGGGGGAGAAACUUGCGCACGUGUUGCGCAAUUGACGGUACCCUGGGAAUAAGCAUCGGCUAACUCCGUGCCAGCCGCCGCGGUAAAAC
rnacentral:rRNA from 1 species